UCCUACGGGGGGCAGCAGUGGGGAAUAUUGCACAAUGGGGGAAACCCUGAUGCAGCGACGCCGCGUGAGUGAGGAAGUAUUUCGGUAUGUAAAGCUCUAUCAGCAGGGAAGAAAAUGACGGUACCUGACUAAGAAGCCCCGGCUAACUACGUGCCAGCAGCCGCGGUAAUACGUAGGGGGCAAGCGUUAUCCGGAUUUACUGGGUGUAAAGGGUGCGUAGGCGGGUAAGCAAGUCAGAAGUGAAAUCCAUGGGCUUAACCCAUGAACUGCUUUUGAAACUGUUUAUCUUGAGUGAAGUAGAGGUA
rnacentral:rRNA from 1 species